UACGGAGGGUGCGAGCGUUGUCCGGAAUCACUGGGCGUAAAGAGCUCGUAGGCGGUUUGUCGCGUCUGCUGUGAAAACUCGGGGCUCAACUCCGAGCUUGCAGUGGGUACGGGCAGACUAGAGUGCGGUAGGGGAGACUGGAAUUCCUGGUGUAGCGGUGGAAUGCGCAGAUAUCAGGAGGAACACCGGUGGCGAAGGCGGGUCUCUGGGCCGUAACUGACGCUGAGGAGCGAAAGCAUGGGGAGCGAACAGG
rnacentral:rRNA from 1 species